UAAAAGUCCGGCUCGAGGCGUCUAGUAGUCGCGUUCGUAAGGCGCAUUUCUCGAGGGUUAGCGCCGCGACCGAUGCGAACGGCCGACGACGCCGUCGAGUUGAGGUCGAACGCCCUUCGCGGGUAUUCGUAACCAGCUCGUUCGGUUCGAUCGUUGGAUCUAUAUAAAGAAAGCAUCGAGCGAAUACUUAAUAAAUACGUCGGCGUAAAACGCUCGACGAGCGGCGGAGACUCGGCCAGUCGUUCGAUACCUGCUCGCAGGUGCUCGUUCGGCGCGAGGUCGUUUCCCGAUGUCGCCGUCGACGCUACCGACGUUUAGGCGUCCGCGGCGUCCGAGUCGGUCACCCGUCCGACCCGUCUUGAAACACGGACCAAGGAGUCUAACGUACGCGCGAGUUAAUGGGCGGAAAACCCAUAAGCGCAAUAAAAGUAAAAGUCGUCCCGAGACGGCCGAGGUACGAUCCUAGACUACGCGUCUAGGCGCAGUACCGUCCCGUCCCGACCGCACGUCGGUAGGGCGGAGAUUGAGCGCGUGCGUUGGGACCCGAAAGAUGGUGAACUAUGCCUGAGCAGAGCGAAGCCAGAGGAAACUCUGGUGGAGG
rnacentral:rRNA from 1 species